CCUACGGGGGGCUGCAGUGGGGAAUUUUGGACAAUGGGGGCAACCCUGAUCCAGCCAUGCCGCGUGCGGGAAGAAGGCCUUCGGGUUGUAAACCGCUUUCGGCCGGAACGAAAUCGCCGGGGAGAACAUCCCCGGUGGAUGACGGUACCGGAAGAAGAAGCACCGGCUAACUACGUGCCAGCAGCCGCGGUAAUACGUAGGGUGCGAGCGUUAAGUGGAAUGUGUGGGGGCAGAGCGUGCGGACAGAUGUGAAAUCACCGGGCUUAACCUGGGAACUGCGUUUGUGACUGGCGGGCUGGAGUGCGGAAGAGGGAGGUGGAAUUCCACGUGUAGCAGUGAAAUGCGUAGAGAUGUGGAGGAACACCGAUGGCGAAGGCAGCCUCCUGGUCUAGCACUGACGCUCAUGCACGAAAGCGUGGGGAGCAAACAGGAUUAGAUACCCUAGUAGUC
rnacentral:rRNA from 1 species